CCAUGGAGAGGACUGAGUUUGUGUCCUCCUGUAGCUCUUGUCACAGUGGCAGGAGGCAGGGGAUGAAUACUUGGGAAAGCAUCAUGCAGCAAAUGCUUGGUGACCUGGAUGACAUGAAGUACCUGGUUAUGCAAGACUGGGGAGGGCAUUCCAGAGGACUGCCAGUGCAAAGGCCCCAAGGAAGGUUGGGGCUUGAUCUGUGAGAGUGUCAGAGUAGAGACCAGUGAGGUGGAGCUCAGGGAGAGAGGCUCCGAAGAGUGGAGAAGUAGGUGGACGCCGAGCUCAGGAGACUCAGUUUUAUUCAAAGAGCAGACGUUUCUGUAAAAUCGUCUCCCACUGGCUCAGAAGCUUCCGGGAGGUGGAGGCUGUGCCCUCUCACUUUGUAACAUUCGUCUGCAAUAUGAGAGGACGACGUUUUCUUUCCUUGGACUCUGAUUCUCCUUAUAGUCUGUGGAGCCAGGCUUCAAGCUGUCCUCUGCUGACCCUGGGGCCUUUUGUGCUUCUCCUUCACACUGAAGGGGCAGGGCCUUUGUGAUUCGUAAAUGAUUUAGAAGUGGCAAUGUGUGAUGUUUGAGGCUAGGCUGUGAAAGUCAUGCCUAACGGUCACACAGAGGGGCCUACAUGGAGUAGAACUGAGUCCUUGGACAGAAUUGAGCCAUCAACUUGUCAGUCAGCCCUGUACCUGCCUGAGGUGCUGGUCUGCUCCCACCCUGACGACAAUGGAUUAAGCCUCUGAAGCUAGAUAAUGACAGAGCCACCCCUGAAUAUUUGAUCUGCAGCAUCCCUGGCUUCCACUUGCAUGAGACAUUUGGCGUGGUUCUCCUGUGCUCUGCAAGCCUGGCAGCUUGUGUUUCUCUCCUGCUGUGGCGCAGUGUGGGGCUUUGGACAGGCGCCUGACUGUUACGCUUCCCUUAAUGUUUUUGUUUGUGCUUCUGUCAAAUAUCUUCUUAAAGGUUGAUUCCUGUCCUCUCUUAAGAGCAGCUUGAAAAUAAAAUAAAAUAAAACAAUAAAAUAAAACAUGAGUGUGCCCUGCCUGUGAGAAAUGCCUUUAUUAUUGAUGAGGAUAUCCUAUUCCAGUGUCUACCGGUCACCUGCCUAUCCAGGUCAGGAGCCGGGAGCCUUUCUCCAGGCUGUGUUCCCCCGCCAGCGCUUCAGUGGUGUGAAUAUGAAGUAGUCUUCCCUGCAGGUGCUCAGCACACAGGCUGCAACCCGUGCAGUGUGUGUCAGGCAGUAAGGAAGGGUCUUCCUCGGCCCCAGUUCUGACAUGCUGGCUCUGCUGAAAAGGAACUUCAGAGAAAGAACCUCGGCCUGUGACCCCUGUGCCAACCCCAUUUGCUCCUCCUGAGAUCUCGAAUGCUUAGCAUUUGUUGAGCAUUGUAAUGUGGGCCGGUACUUGGAAUGAUGCCAUGCAUCGUCUAACAGGAGAAUUUUACAGCGCAGAGAACAUUACGUUCACAGCCAGGAAGC